rnacentral:rRNA from 1 species
ACGGAGGAGGCUAGCAUUGUCCGGAAUUAUUGGGCGUAAAGAACACGUAGGCGGUUUGUCAAGUCAUUUGUGAAAACCUUAGGCUUAACUUAAGGAUUGCAGAUGAUACUGGUAAACUAGAGUACAGCAGAGGAAAGCGGAAUUCCUGGUGUAGCGGUGAAAUGCGCAGAUAUCAGGAAGAACACCAGUGGCGAAAGCGGCUUUCUGGACUGUUACUGACGCUGAGGUGUGAAAGCUAGGGGAGCGAACAG